rnacentral:rRNA from 1 species
GACGAACGCUGGCGGCGUGCUUAACACAUGCCAGUCGAACGCUGAAGCUCAGCUUGCUGGGUGGAUGAGUGGCGAACGGGUGAGUAACACAUGAGUAACCUGCCCUCUUCUUUGGGAUAACGCCCGGAAACGGGUGCUAAUACUGGAUAUUCACUGAUUCUCGCAUGGGGGUUGGUGGAAAGGUUUUUUCUGGUGGGGGAUGGGCUCGCGGCCUAUCAGCUUGUUGGUGGGGUGAUGGCCUACCAAGGCUUUGACGGGUAGCCGGCCUGAGAGGGUGACCGGUCACAUUGGGACUGAGAUACGGCCCAGACGCCUACGGGAGGCAGCAGUGGGGAAUAUUGCACAAUGGGCGAAAGCCUGAUGCAGCGACGCCGCGUGAGGGAUGGAGGCCUUCGGGUUGUAAACCUCUUUCGCUCAUGGUCAAGCCGCAGCGUUGGGUUGUGGUGAGGGUAGUGGGUAAAGAAGCGCCGGCUAACUACGUG